UGCUUCAGACCUCAUUCAUUCUCUUAGUCCC
rnacentral:piRNA from 1 species